UUGACCGGAACUCUCUUCAGGUUUGCUCAGUUUUUGUCUCUGUCUUCUCUUUACUCAGUUUCUCCUCUAUUAUCUGUUUAUGGCUUCUCCUCAAUUUUCAUUUGUUUAUUUAUUUCAAACUUUUUUAAUUUUUCGCUCUCCCCAAAUCAAAGAAAAAAGAAAACGCAGCAGCAGGCCAGUAGCACGCUGGCGGCAGGUAGGGAGUAGCCGCAUCCAUUUCUCCAGAGUCCAGCCUCUCCUUGGCACGUCUUUAGUCCAGAGUCGCUGCAGCUCCUCAUCGGUCGUUUCCAGUUUACUUCUCCUCGGCAAGUCAAGCCGUUUCCAGUUUGCUCGCUGUAGCUCUUCCAUUGCUCCACCACAGGUUAUUUGAUGAGUUUGUGUAGAUGAGUUUGUUGAAUUUUGUUUAUUGAAGUUUGUUCGUUAUUUGAAAUUUGUUGAAAUUUACAUAAUUUAUGUGAAUGUGUUUGUUGAUAUUUGUUGAAUUAAUAUAAUUUUACUUUUUUAUUCAUAUAUUUGUUUUUAAUUAUUUUAACUGGCGGCAGGUAGGGAGUAGCCGCAUCCAUUUUUCCAGAGUCCAGCAUCUCCUUGGCACGUCUUUAGUCUAGAGUCGCUGCAGCUCCUCAUCGGUCGUUUCCAGUUUGCUUCUCCUCGGCAAGUCAAGCCAUUUCCAGUUUGCUCGCUGUAGCUCUUCCAUUGCUCCACCACAGGUUAUUUGAUGAGUUUGUGUAGAUGAGUUUGUUGAAUUUUGUUUAUUGAAGUUUGUUCGUUAUUUGAAAUUUGUUGAAAUUUACAUAAUUUAUGUGAAUGGGUUUGUUGAAAUUUGUUGAAAUUUACAUAAUUAUUGAAGAUGAGAGACUACUGCUUAACUUUAUGCUACCAAUGCCUCAAUAUCUUUUUCCUUUCCAACAUUAGAAGUCUGAGAAAUCUGAAUGUUGCUAGUGCUGAAUUUUACGUUUUAAAUAUCAUAGCCUUUAGGAAUGAUAUAAAUAACAACUGGCAUACGCACACCAAUACCGUGAAAAGAAACUUGAUAUAAUGCAGAAUGGGAUACAUAGUGGUAAACCACCAGCAUGAAUCUUUUUGUUUUUUAUAGGUUGAAUCUUUAGAAGACCUUUAGCGAUACAUUUAGUUUGAUUAACUAGAAUAGCAUUAUGGUCAUAUUCAUAAUAAACAACCUCAUAGUAUCAGCACAUGAAGCAAUAAAGAAUUGAUUGUUGUACAGAUGGACCACAUAUAUUUAAGAGACAGUGUCAAAAGGUGAGCCAACUCAUUUAUUAACAUCUCACAACAAGAAAAAGUGGCCAUCAAAUGCACAAGGCUUAAUUAACACUGCAAAUUAGAAAUAUAAGCUAAAAAGGUAAACUGACCUCUCACCACCAACAACAAAAACAGCACAUGUCCCUGUUGGAGCAGUCUCAUCCUCAUAAUAAUGUACCUGAUAAGCACUCUUAUUAAACUUAAACACAAGAGAUGACCUAAAAACAGGAAAUAAAAGAAGCAGAGUAGUUACAUUGACACCAGCUUGCCUUGAGUUUUUCUUCAUCUCCUCUCACUCCAAGGUUACAACGGCUUUAUGCAUCAGACGCAACAGCACCCCAUAUGAGAUGGCAUGCUGAACAUGAAUAUGAGGAAGGGGUCAUGCAUCAUCCAUCUGAUUCUCCCGCAUGGAAACACUUCAUUGCAUGUUAUCCAUCAUUUGGAUCAGAGAUAAGGAAUGUGAUGCUUGGAUUGUCUACUGAUGGAUUCCAACCAUUUGGACAAUCUGGCCAACAGUACUCAUCUUGGCCCAUCAUUAUGACACCAUAUAAUCUUCCGCCAUGGCUGUGUAUGAAGUCAUAAUAUAUGUUUCUCACUGUUAUAGUUCCGGGCCCAAAUAAUCCUAAAUUUAAAAUUGAUAUAUUCUUACAACCCUUAAUCGAAGAACUAAAACAAUUAUGGAACAUGGGGGUUGAGACAUAUGAUGUGGAUAAGAAGCAAAAUUUUCUCAUGCGGGUUGCUUUGCUAUGGACCAUUAGUGACUUUCCUGCUUAUGCCAUGCUUUCUGGUUGGAGCACUGCAGGAAGGCUUGCAUGCCCAUAUUGUAUGGAUAACACUGAUGCAUUUACUUUGCCAAGAGGUGGCAAACAAUGUUGGUUUGACAAUCAUUGUAAAUUUUUGAACCAUAACCAUCCAUGGCGGAAGAAUAAAUCAUGGUUUAGAAAAAACAAAGUUGUUACUGAACAUGCACCUCUAGUAAGGACUGGAGAGGAAAUUUUGCAUGAGAUAGAAAGUCUGGGAUUAAUGAGAGUGACAGAUCCAGGUUCAAAUGUUGUUAAUGCUGUUAUUAGUAAGACAUGUGGAUGGAGGAAACGCAGCAUAUUCUGGGAUUUACCUUAUUGGAGUUCCUUGCUUAUUAGACACAACCUUGAUGUAAUGCAUAUUGAAAAGAAUUUUUUUGAUAACUUGUUCAAUACCAUUAUGAAUAUAGAGGGUAAAACAAAAGAUAAUGCAAAAGCAAGAGAAGAUAUGAGGGAAAUAUGUCGGCGGCCUGAGUUGGAGGUUAAUGCAGAAACUGGCAGGUAUCCAAAAGCAAUAUAUGCAUUGGACAAACUGGCAAAACAAGUUAUUUGUGAAUGGAUGAAGGGACUCAGAUUUCCUGAUGGUUAUGUGUCUAACAUGGCUCGAUGUGUCGACAUGAACAAGUACAGAUUAUUUGGAAUGAAAAGUCAUGAUUGUCAUAUUUUCAUGCAAAAGUUGUUGCCUAUUGCUUUUCGUGAAUUAUUAUCAAUGAGAAUGUGGGAAGCAAUUACCGAGCUAAGUAUUUUCUUUAAGCAACUAACGAGUACGAUCUUACGGGAGGAAGAUAUGCAAAGGCUUGAAGAGGACAUUCCGGUUAUACUAUGCAAAUUGGAGCGAAUAUUUCCUCCGGGUUUCUUCGACUCGAUGGAACAUCUUCCGGUUCAUCUUGCAUAUGAAGCUCGCAUUGGGGGUCCAGUGCAAUAUCGUUGGAUGUAUCCUUAUGAGCGGUAAUAAUUAAUCACUGCUGCUUCAUCAAAAUAUCAAUUAUUUAUUAUGCUUAAUUUGUUUGAUAAUUAAUUAUGUAAUACAGGUACAAUGGAAUUUUAAAGAAGAAUAUUAAAAAUAAAGCCAAAGUUGAAGGAUCAAUUGCUAAUGCAUACUUGGUAGAGGAGGCAUCUUCUUUUUGUGCUUACUAUUUUGAGUCACAUGUUUCUACAAGACAUCGACGGGUUCCACGUAAUGAUGAUGGUGGUGUAGUGGAAGAUCAGGAGAUUGAAGGAAAUUUAUCAAUAUUCAAAUAUCCGGGUAGACCCAUAGGUCAAUCAAAGAAAAGGAUAUUGACAAAGGAUGAAAGAAAUGCAGCUCAUUUAUAUAUCCUACUAAAUUGUGAAGAAGUUUCACCAUUUAUCAAGUAAGCACAAUUCACCGCCAAAUUAUAAAUUUAAUAGUCUUCUAAAAUGCAUAUAUAUUCAUGAAAAUAACCAAAGUUGUAUAAUUUCUCCUAAUGCAAGAUUAUAUAUUGAGGAACUACAGAGGAUAUCACCUAACAUUACCGAUGGAGAGGUAGACAUCACAUUGGAGAAUAACUUUCCCACAUGGUUCAGAGCAUACGUAAGCUUUAUAAUACUUGCAAUAAUACGCUGAAUUUGGUGAAUGAAUCAAAAUUAAUUUUAUAUGUUCACUUUUUGUAAUAGGUACAUGAACCAACCAAUACAGUGAACAAUCCUCUAAUCCAAGAUUUAGCCAAAGGACCUCUAAAUACAGUGAAUGUGUACACAGGAUACUAUGUAAAUGGAUACAAAUUUCACACUGAGGGACGAAGUGCUAAUCGAAUGACGGUGAAUUGUGGUGUAUGCAUUAAAGGAACGAACUAUAGUGAUCAAUCAAGUGAUUACUAUGGUAAGUUGAUAGAGGUUUUUGAAGUAGAAUACUCGGCUUUACCUAUGAAGCGGACAGUUCUAUUCCACUGUGAAUGGUUUGAUCCUACCCCAAAUGUUGGAGUGAAAAUUCAUUUAAUGUAUAAUAUUGUGGAUGUAAAUCAAAGAAGGAGAUUUCAUAAGUAUGAGCCAUUUGUUUUGGCUAGCCAGGCACAACAAGUUUAUUACAUUCCUUAUCCUUCUUUAAGACGAGCAAGGUCUGAUUGGCAAUCUGUGAUAAAAAUUAAAGCUAGGGCAGUGAUUGAAUUACCAAAUAUUGUUGUACCAGCGACAGCGUCAACAACAGAUGCAUUUCAAGAAGAUACUGUAACUUUGCAGCCUUUAGUCUUAAAUGAGGAAGGAUUACCUGAGACAUUAAAUGAUCCAGCGGGUGGUGAAGUGUUUAUUUCAGAAUUAGUUGAAGAAGAAGAAGAAGAUGAAGAGACAUAUCAUUAUUCAACUUCAGACAAUGACGAAUAUUACUUAGAUUAGUCAACUCUAAGCUAUGUAGUAAACUUUUUUGCUCUAAUUAUCUUUUUUAUUAU
rnacentral:lncRNA from 1 species